rnacentral:rRNA from 1 species
UGCAGGCUGCAACCCGCCUGCAUGAAGUUGGAAUCGCUAGUAAUCGCGGAUCAGCAUGCCGCGGUGAAUACGUUCCCGGGCCUUGUACACACCGCCCGUCACACCAUGAGAGUCGGGAACACCCGAAGUCCGUAGCCUGACCGCAAGGGGGGCGCGGCCGAAGGUGGGUUCGAUAAUUGGGGUGAAGUCGUAACAAGGUACC